UUGAGAGUUUGAUCCUGGCUCAGAACGAACGCUGGCGGCAGGCCUAACACAUGCAAGUCGAGCGAGACCUUCGGGUCUAGCGGCGGACGGGUUAGUAACGCGUGGGAACGUACCCUUUUCUGCAGGAUAGCCACUGGAAACGGUGAGUAAUACUGCAUACGCCCUUCGGGGGAAAGAUUUAUCGGAGAAGGAUCGGCCCGCGUUAGAUUAGAUAGUUGGUGGGGUAACGGCCUACCAAGUCUACGAUCUAUAGCUGGUUUGAGAGGAUGAUCAGCAACACUGGGACUGAGACACGGCCCAGACUCCUACGGGAGGCAGCAGUGGGGAAUCUUAGACAAUGGGCGCAAGCCUGAUCUAGCCAUGCCGCGUGAGUGAUGAAGGCCUUAGGGUCGUAAAGCUCUUUCGCCUGUGAAGAUAAUGACUGUAGCAGGUAAAGAAACCCCGGCUAACUCCGUGCCAGCAGCCGCGGUAAUACGGAGGGGGUUAGCGUUGUUCGGAAUUACUGGGCGUAAAGCGCGCGUAGGCGGACAUUUAAGUCAGAGGUGAAAUCCCAGGGCUCAACCCUGGAACUGCCUUUGAUACUGGGUGUCUUGAGUUCGAGAGAGGUGAGUGGAAUUCCGAGUGUAGAGGUGAAAUUCGUAGAUAUUCGGAGGAACACCAGUGGCGAAGGCGGCUACCUGGACCAAUACUGACACUGAGGUGCGAAAGCGUGGGGAGC
rnacentral:rRNA from 1 species